rnacentral:misc_RNA from 1 species
AACUUUCGGCAAUGGAUCACUUGGUUCUGGCAUCGAUGAAGAACGCAGCGAAAUGCGAUAAGUAGUGUGAAUUGCAGAAUUCAGUGAAUCAUCGAAUCUUUGAACGCACAUUGCGCCCCUUGGUAUUCCAUGGGGCAUGCCUGUUCGAGCGUCAUUUGUACCUUCAAGCUCUGCUUGGUGUUGGGUGUUUGUCUCGCCUUUGCGUGUAGACUCGCCUCAAAACAAUUGGCAGCCGGCGUAUUGAUUUCGGAGCGCAGUACAUCUCGCGCUUUGCACUCAUAACGACGACGUCCAAAAGUACAUUUUUACACUCUUGACCUCGGAUCAGGUAGGGAUACCCGCUGAACUUAAGCAUAUCAAUAAGCGGAGGCU